rnacentral:rRNA from 1 species
AACGAACGCUGGCGGCAUGCCUAAUACAUGCAAGUCGAACGAGAUCUUCGGAUCUAGUGGCGCACGGGUGCGUAACGCGUGGGAAUCUGCCCUUGGGUUCGGAAUAACUUCUGGAAACGGAAGCUAAUACCGGAUGAUGACGUAAGUCCAAGAUUUAUCGCCCAAGGAUGAGCCCGCGUAGGAUUAGCUAGUUGGUGGGGUAAAGGCCCACCAAGGCGACGAUCCUUAGCUGGUCUGAGAGGAUGAUCAGCCACACUGGGACUGAGACACGGCCCAGACUCCUACGGGAGGCAGCAGUAGGGAAUAUUGGACAAUGGGGGAAACCCUGAUCCAGCAAUGCCGCGUGAGUGAUGAAGGCCUUAGGGUUGUAAAGCUCUUUUACCCGGGAUGAUAAUGACAGUACCGGGAGAAUAAGCUCCGGCUAACUCCGUG